UCGACUAGCUAUGCGAGACGCGAGUCAUCUGGACUCGUCGAACUGCUCAGUAACACGUAGUUAAUCUACUCUCAAGUGGAGGAUAAUCCUGGGAAACUGGGGAUAAUACUCCAUAGCUGUUUAUUGCUGGAAUGCGUUUACAGCAAAAGCUCCGGCGCUUGAGAAUGGGACUGCGGCCUAUCAUGGCUGUUGUGAGUGUAAUGUACUCACAAACCUGUAACGGGUAGGGGUCAUGAAAGUGAGAGCCCCGAGAUGCUUUCUGAGACAUGAAAGCAGGUCCUACGGGACGCAGCAAGCGCGCAACCUUUCCAAUGGCUUAACGGUCGAGAAGGGAAUCCUGAGUGAUUGUACACUGUACAGUCUUUUGUUUUGUCUAAAAAGCAAGACGAAUAAGAGGUGGGUAAGACGGGUGGCAGCCGCCGCGGUAAUACCCGCGCCUCGAGUGGUGACCACUAUUAUUGGGUUUAAAGCGUCCGUAGCCGGUUUCGCAAGUUCUUGGUGAAAUCCAACAGUUGACUGUUGAACGUGCUGAGAAUACUACGAGACUUGGGAUUGGGAGAGGGUAGGGGUAUUCCAUGGGUAGGGGUUAAAUCCUUUAAUCCAUGGAGGACCACCGGUGGCGAAGGCGCCUACCUAGAACAAGUCCGACGGUGAGGGACGAAAGCGUGGGGAGCAAACGGGAUUAGAUACCCCGGUAGUCCACGCCGUAAACGAUGCCCGUUUGAUGUUGCAAACUUUACGAGAGUUUGCAGUGUCGGAGUGUAAAUGUUAAACGGGCCACCUGGGGAGUACGGCCGCAAGGCUAAAACUUAAGGGAAUUGGCGGGAGAGCACACAAGGGGUGUGAGCUGCGGUUUAAUUGGAUUCAACGCCGGGAAGCUCACGAGGGUUGACAGCAGAAUGAAGGUCAUCCUAAAGGGGUUACCAGACGCGCUGAGAGGUGUUGCAUGGCCAUCGUCAGCUCGUACCUUGAGGCGUGCGGUUAAGUCCGUUAACGAGCGAGACCCACGCUAUCAUUUGCUAUCAUGUUUUAAGUCUUCGAGACCAAGAACAUGAGCACUAUGAUAGGACCGCUGGUGAUAAACCAGAGGAAGGAGUGGGGCGACGGUAGGUCCGUAUGGCCCGAAUAUCCUCGGCUACACGCGGCCCGCAAUGGCUAGGACAAAGCGUUGCAACACCGAAAGGUGAAGCCAAUCGCCCAAACCUAGCCCAAGUUCAGAUUGUGGAUUGCAACUCAUCCACAUGAAGCUGGAAUCCCUAGUAAGCGAAUGUCAUCAUCGUCA
rnacentral:rRNA from 1 species